rnacentral:lncRNA from 1 species
AUAUCUUGCAUAUCUUGACACUUUCACUUUUUCCCAACCAUACAAGUCUCAAGCGUCACACACACACACACACCUUGACAUACAAGUAUACAGGUGGGUCCCUGGACAGAGGAGAAGUCUGGACCCAAAUGGAUCACCCCUUCACCAAAGCUGGAGCAGGCGCUGCAGGUGUGCAGCAGCCAGCAACGAUUCCUGCUGGUGGUUUGCAGUCCCUUGCUGAGGUAGCAGAGCCUGCAGACCUGGGUAAGGUAGAGGGAACCAAGAGUCAACCUGGACACAACGCAGGAGCAGGAGAUGGACAAUUUUGCUCCUUUGACAGUUCGCUGUCAUCUUCGGACAGCGAGGAUGAGGGUAUUGGCAAGAAAGACAAGAAAAAGAAACAGCUGAAAAAGAAGAAGAAGAAGAAGAAAGAUUCCAGCUCAUCCUCAUCAUCUUCAUCUUCCUCCUCUUCUUCUUCCUCCUCCUCCAGUAGCUCUUCAGACAGUGACAGUGAGGAUGACAAGAAGAAGAAGAAGAAGAAAAAGGAGAAGAUGAAGAGCAAGGAUGAGGAGAACGAGUUAGUCUGGGGCACUGUUAUCGUAUGUGGUGAAGGUGGAAGUGAGCAGCUGUGGACAGAAGGUAUGAAGACGGGCAAGGAUGUUGGCUCAUCAGAUGACAAUGAUGACAAGAAAAAGGAUAAAAAGAAGAAGAAGAAGAAGGACAAGAAGAAGAAGAAGAAGGAUUCAUCCUCUUCCUCAUCUGACUGUUCAUCCUCCGACAGUGAGGAUGAAAAGAGGAAGAAGAAGAAGAAAAAGAAGAAGAAGAAGAAGAAGACGAAGAAGGACUGCAGCUCCUCUUCCUCAGAUAACUCCUCCUCUUCAUCCUCCUCCUCCGACAGCGAGGAUGACAAGAAGAAAAAGAAGAAAAAAGACAAGAAGAAGAAGAAAAAGAAAGACAAGAAAAAGGUAAAGCAAUGUGGCAACGUGCUGCUGUUAUUCACUGUGUGAUUCUGCAGAAAGUACACAGUAAUACAAUUAAUCAUGUAAUGUAUGUGUUCUUGCCAAUGAUACAAGUGUGUAAUACAUGACUUGUGUUGCUGAUUAAACAGCAAUGUCACAAACAUUGUUGCAUGAAUAAUUAUUAUUUAUCUAUUCAAAUGUUUUGUAUUGACACAGGAUUCUAGCUCUUCAUCUUCUGACAGCGAAAAAGAUGAGAAGAAGAAGAAGAAGAAGAAGAAGGUAAAAUUCCUUCUUGUUUUUAAAAAAAGCCUGACAUCUCUAAAUGAUUCAGUAGGUAUUCAGGUCAGAGGAGAAUCUGCUCAUUACAUGAACCUCGAAAGGCACUU